rnacentral:rRNA from 1 species
UACAGAGGGGGCAAGCGUUGUUCGGAAUUACUGGGCGUAAAGGGCGCGUAGGUGGCCUUCUAAGUUGAACGUGAAAUCCCUGGGCUCAACCCAGGAACUGCGUCCAAGACUGGGAGGCUUGAAUCCGGGAGAGGGAUGCGGAAUUCCAGGUGUAGCGGUGAAAUGCGUAGAUAUCUGGAGGAACACCGGUGGCGAAGGCGGCAUCCUGGACCAUUACUGACACUGAAAAGCGAAAGCCAGGGGAGCAAACGGG